rnacentral:rRNA from 1 species
UACGAGUGCCCCAAGCGUUAUCCGGAAUCAUUGGGCGUAAAGGGUGUGUAGGUGGUGAUGUUAGUCCUCUGUAAAAUCUCCCGGCUUAACCGGGAAUCUGCAAAGGAAACGGCAUCGCUAGAGGAUGCGAGGGGCAAGUGGAACUCAUGGAGUAGGGGUGAAAUCCGUUGAUAUCAUGGGGAACACCAAAAGCGAAGGCAACUUGCUGGCGCAUUCCUGACACUGAAACACGAAAGCGUGGGUAGCGAACGGG